CCUACGUUGUGUUAUAUUUUUAAGAAAACCAGAACACGCUUUCACAAUUUUACAUACUUUAUUUAACGCGCGCUGUCGAGAGCCGUUUCUCCUUCGUGGUCGGUUACAAGAACGAAUAUCAUUAUGACAGCUUAUUCCCGCGAUCUAAUUCCCUACCAAUACACACAAAAACAGCACCUGUCAAUCGUUUCGUUUAUCGGUGAAACGCAUAUGCAAAUAACGCAAUUGAAAUAUUUCACUCGGAACUAGGCAUGGGCAAAACGAUUCUUUUCACCGAACGCGAACGAACUAGUUCGCUCACCAAAAAGAACCGAACGUGAACGACGAUUCUUUCGUUCUUUUUUUCAUGGGGUUUUUAUUCACAAAGAACAUUCGUUAUUUUUUUCAUUUACCCACCAUAGACGCAUACUGUAGCCAAAGAAGUACUCAUUCUGCGGUUGAAACCAAUCAUUUAAAAACAUUAAAUAAAUCAGCCCAUCUGCUGUCUGGUCAACACAAUCUAUCGCAAAACCGACCAAAAACUAGCAUGUAAAAAACUAAUACGAGCAAAAAUGUCUCCAGCAUAUAUUGUACCCUAUGUCUUAUACACACUCAAGGAUUCUAUAAAAAAAACUACUUAAACAUGGAUAAACAUGAUGAGCGCAAUCAAUUCAGUUCAGUUCAUUCGCGAACAAUGACUAAUGCGUUUGAACGGGCUCGAUCUAUUGAAUUGUAUAGGUAUAAUUUACACACCAACAGAACACAGAUCGAACACCAGUUCGAACGCGUUCGAUGAAUUCAGUUGUGUAGGUACGAUUUCCACACCAACAGAACACAGAUCGAACACCAGUUCGAACGCGUUCGAUGAAUUCAGUUGUGUAGGUACGAUUUACAUACCAACAGAACACAGAUCGAACACUAACCGAUCAGAUCGAACGCGUUCGAUGAAUUCAGUUGUGUAGGUACGAUUUCCACACCAACAGAACACAGAUCGAACACCAGUUCGAACGCGUUCGAUGAAUUCAGUUGUGUAGGUACGAUUUAUACACCAACAGAACACAAAUCGAACACCAGUUCGAACGCGUUCGAUGAAUUCAGUUGUGUAGGUACGAUUUACACACCAACAGAACACAGAUCGAAAACCAGUUCGAACGCGUUCGAUAAAUUCAGUCGUAUAGAUACGAUUUCCACACCAACAGCACACGUAUCGAACACUGCUGGACAAAUUCGACGGCGUUCGAGGAAUUGAGUUGUAUGGGUACGAUUUCAACACCAACAGGGUACAUUUUGAUCUCUGACGACCCGUUCGCACGGUGCGAGAAAGAGCGAGAAAGCAAUAUGAUUUUGCACGUUUCAUUACCACAUUUAUGUGUGCCGUCAAACACU